rnacentral:rRNA from 1 species
UACGUAGGGCGCAAGCGUUAUCCGGAAUUAUUGGGCGUAAAGAGCUCGUAGGCGGUUUGUCGCGUCUGCCGUGAAGAACACGGGGCUCAACUCCGGUUCUGCAGUGGGUACGGGCAGACUAGAGUGCAGUAGGGGAGACUGGAAUUCCUGGUGUAGCGGUGAAAUGCGCAGAUAUCAGGAGGAACACCGGUGGCGAAGGCGGGUCUCUGGGCCGAUACUGACGCUGAGGAGCGAAAGCGUGGGGAGCGAACAGG